rnacentral:rRNA from 1 species
UACGUAGGGUGCGAGCGUUAAUCGGAAUUACUGGGCGUAAAGCGUGCGCAGGCAGUUAUGCAAGACAGAUGUGAAAUCCCCGGGCUCAACCUGGGAACUGCAUUUGUGACUGCAUAGCUAGAGUACGGUAGAGGGGGAUGGAAUUCCGCGUGUAGCAGUGAAAUGCGUAGAUAUGCGGAGGAACACCGAUGGCGAAGGCAAUCCCCUGGACCUGUACUGACGCUCAUGCACGAAAGCGUGGGGAGCAAACAGG